rnacentral:rRNA from 1 species
AUGCGGAGGAUCCGAGCGUUAUCCGGAUUUAUUGGGUUUAAAGGGUGCGCAGGCGGGAGAUUAAGUCGGCGGUGAAAUUUUGCAGCUCAACUGUAAAAGUGCCUUCGAAACUGGUUUCCUUGAGUGUAGAUGAAGUAGGCGGAAUUUGUGGUGUAGCGGUGAAAUGCAUAGAUAUCACGAGGAACUCCGAUUGCGCAGGCAGCUUACUAAACUACUACUGACGCUCAGGCACGAAGGCGUGGGGAUCAAACAGGAUUAGAUACCCUGGUAGUCCACGCAGUAAACGAUGAUUACUAGCUGUUUGCGAUACAAUGUAAGCGGCUGAGCGAAAGCGUUAAGUAAUCCACCUGGGGAGUACGUUCGCAAGAAUGAAACUCAAAUGAAUUGACGGGG